UACGGAGGGGGCUAGCGUUGUCCGAAGUUACUGGGCGUAAAGCGCGCGUAGGCGGGUUGGUAAGUCCGCUGUGAAAGCCCGGAGCUCAACUCCGGAGGGUCGGUGGAUACUGCCAGUCUUGAAGGUGCUAGGGGGAGAUGGAAUUACCGGUGUAGCGGUGAAAUGCGUAGAUAUCGGUAGGAACACCAGUGGCGAAGGCGGUCUCCUGGGGCAUUCUUGACGCUGAGGCGCGAAAGCUAGGGGAGCAAACGGG
rnacentral:rRNA from 1 species